GUCUGAAGUGGUCCACCAUGUCCUAUUAAGAAAAUUCCCUGCUGGGGUAGGAGAGAAGAGAAAAGCUCUCUCACAGAACACUUCAGCAUAGUUCUGUAAUGCCUGAGAACUUGCAUCUACCUAACAUCAUCGACAGACUAUUCUGCCAGGAAAAGAUGCCCAAUGAAAGCAAAUCAAUGGGCCGUGGAAGAAACUCUUCCCAGCAGUGACCUAA